UUUCCCAUUUAUUUGCUGCUAUAGUCUUUCCAGUGACAUGAGCAGUUAUACGCAUGGGAUAAAAUAACAUCAGGCCACUGUGAAUGGAGGUGGAACAACCUUUCAAUCUCUUUUGCAUGCAUAGUCUAGACACUG